CGGAGGGUGCGAGCGUUGUCCGGAAUCAUUGGGCGUAAAGGGCGCGUAGGUGGCGGCUUAAGCGUGCGGUGAAAGCUCGGGGCUCAACCCCCGAGUCGGCCGUGCGAACUGAGUCGCUUGAGCACUGUAGAGGCAGGCGGAAUUCCGGGUGUAGCGGUGGAAUGCGUAGAGAUCCGGAAGAACACCGGUGGCGAAGGCGGCCUGCUGGGCAGUAGCUGACACUGAGGCGCGACAGCGUGGGGAGCAAACAGGAUUAGAUACCCUGGUAGUCCACGCCGUAAACGAUGGGCACUUGGCGCUUGGGGGAGCGGACCCCCCGAGGGCCGGCGCUAACGCAUUAAGUGCCCCGCCUGGGGAGUACGGCCGCAAGGCUG
rnacentral:rRNA from 1 species